rnacentral:miRNA from 1 species
UAUGUGCUUGGCUGAGGAGCCAAUGGGGCGAAGCUACCAUCUGUGGGAUUAUGACUGAAUCCCGCCCAGGCGGAACGAUACAGCAGCGCCGCGAAGCCUCGGUUGGCCUCGGAUGGCC